rnacentral:rRNA from 1 species
UACGGGGGGGGUAAGCGUUGUUCGGAAUUACUGGGCGUAAAGGGCUCGUAGGCGGCCAACUAAGUCCGACGUGAAAUCCCAAGGCUUAACCUUGGAACUGCGUCGGAUACUGGAUGGCUUGAAUUCGGGAGAGGGAUGCAGAAUUCCAGGUGUAGCGGUGAAAUGCGUAGAUAUCUGGAGGAAUACCGGUGGCGAAGGCGGCAUCCUGGACCGACAUUGACGCUGAUGAGCGAAAGCUAGGGGAGCAAACGGG